rnacentral:rRNA from 1 species
CAAUAGCGUAUAUUAAAGUUGUUGCAGUUAGAACGCUCGUAGUCGGAUUUCGGGACGGGCCGACCGGUCUGCCGAUGGGUACGCACUGGUCGGCGCGUCCUUCCUUCCGGAGACCGUGCCUACUCUUAACUGAGCGGGGGCGGGAGACGGAACGUUUACUUUGAAAAAAUCAGAGUGUUUCAAGCAGGCAGUGCGCUCUUGCAUGGAUUAGCAUGGGAUAAUGAAAUAGGACUUUGGUGCUAUUUUGUUGGUUUCGAACACCGAAGUAAUGAUUAAAAAAGACAGUCAGGGGCACUCGUAUUCCGCCGAGAGAGGUGAAAUUCUCAGACCAGCGGAAGACGAACCACUGCGAAAGCAUUUGCCAGGGAUGUUUUCACUGA